rnacentral:rRNA from 1 species
GGGCCCGCACAAGCGGUGGAGCAUGUGGUUUAAUUCGAUGAUACGCGAGGAACCUUACCAGGGCUUAAAUGGGAGAUGACAGGGGCAGAGACGCCCUUUUCUUCGGACAUCUUUCAAGGUGCUGCAUGGUUGUCGUCAGCUCGUGCCGUGAGGUGUCAGGUUAAGUCCUAUAACGAGCGCAACCCCUACCGUUAGUUGCCAGCGAUUCAAGUCGGGGACUCUAACGGGACUGCCGGUGCAAACCGUGAGGAAGGUGGGGACGACGUCAAAUCAUCAUGGCCCUUACGUCCAGGGCUGCACACGUGCUACAAUGGUCGGUACAAUGGGUCGCCACCCAGCGAUGGGGCG